CAUGUACUCCCUCCGUUCAGAAUUACUUGUCACAAAAAUGAAUGUAUCUACAACUAAAAUACAUCUAGAUACAUUCAUUUCUUAGACGAGUAAUUCCGAACGGAGGGAGUACUUA
rfam:Triticum aestivum genome assembly, contig: Triticum_aestivum_CS42_TGACv1_scaffold_362270_4DS